GGAUCUUUAGCUCAGUAGGGAGAGCACCAGCUCGACAAGCUGGGGGUCGCUGGUUCGAGCCCAGCAAGGUCCA
rnacentral:tRNA from 1 species